rnacentral:rRNA from 1 species
UACGAAGGGGGCUAGCGUUGCUCGGAAUUACUGGGCGUAAAGCGCACGUAGGCGGCUUGUUAAGUCAGGGGUGAAAUCCUGGAGCUCAACUCCAGAACUGCCUUUGAUACUGGCGAGCUUGAGUUCGGGAGAGGUGAGUGGAACUGCGAGUGUAGAGGUGAAAUUCGUAGAUAUUCGCAAGAACACCAGUGGCGAAGGCGGCCAACUGGUCCGAUACUGACGCUGAGGCGCGAAAGCGUGGGGAGCAAACAGGG